rnacentral:rRNA from 1 species
UACAGAGGGUGCGAGCGUUGUCCGGAAUCACUGGGCGUAAAGGGCGCGUAGGUGGCGUCGCAAGUCGAUGGUGAAAGCUCGGCGCUCAACGCCGAGUCGGCCCUUGAUACUGCGAGGCUGGAGCACUGUAGAGGCAGAUGGAAUUCCGGGUGUAGCGGUGGAAUGCGUAGAGAUCCGGAAGAACACCGGUGACGAAGGCGGUCUGCUGGGCAGUUGCUGACACUGAGGCGCGACAGCGUGGGGAGCAAACAGG